rnacentral:lncRNA from 1 species
UGUUAAUCACAAAGAAGCAUUAUUUUUAUUGCAAGAAACGAGAUUAUAUAGUAUCAAGAGGAGCAUAAUAUGGUAUACAUGAUUUUUUUUUAUCAAUAAAGACUUUUAGAAAAUUUGAGAAGA